rnacentral:rRNA from 1 species
AUUUGAAAUCUGGCUCUUUCAGAGUCCGAGUUGUAAUUUGAAGAAGGUAUCUUUGGGUCUGGCUCUUGUCUAUGUUUCUUGGAACAGAACGUCACAGAGGGUGAGAAUCCCGUGCGAUGAGAUGAUCCAGGCCUAUGUAAAGUUCCUUCGAAGAGUCGAGUUGUUUGGGAAUGCAGCUCUAAGUGGGUGGUAAAUUCCAUCUAAAGCUAAAUAUUGGCGAGAGACCGAUAGCGAACAAGUACAGUGAUGGAAAGAUGAAAAGAACUUUGAAAAGAGAGUGAAAAAGUACGUGAAAUUGUUGAAAGGGAAGGGCUUGAGAUCAGACUUGGUAUUUUGUAUGUUACUUCUUCGGGGGUGGCCUCUACAGUUUAUCGGGCCAGCAUCAGUUUGGGCGGUAGGAGAAUUGCGUUGGAAUGUGGCACGGCUUCGGUUGUGUGUUAUAGCCUUCGUCGAUACUGCCAGCCUAGACUGAGGACUGCGGUUUAUACCUAGGAUGUUGGCAUAAUGAUCUUAAGUCGCCCGU